AUUGAACGCUGGCGGCAGGCCUAACACAUGCAAGUCGAACGGUAAGAGGAAGAAGUUUGCUUCUUUACUGUGGAGUAGCGGACGGGUGAGACAUGUGUGGGAAACUGCUUAAUGAGGGGGAACAACUACUGAAACCGGUACCUAAUACCGCAUAGCGCCGCAAGACCAAACAGGGGUACCAUAGGGCCUCUUGCCAUCAGAUGCGCCCAGAUGGGCUUCGCUAGUAGGUGGGGUAACAGCUCACCUAGGCGACGAUCUCUAACUGGUCUGAGAGGCUGAGCAGCCACACGGGAACUGAGACACGGUCCAUACUCCUACGGUAGGCAGCAGUAGGGAAUAUUGCACAAUGGUCGCAAGCCUGAUGCAGCGAGGCGGCGUGUGUGAAGAAGGCCUUCGGAUUGUAAAGUACUCUUAGCGGGGAUGAAGGGAGUAAAGUUAAUACCUUUGCUGAUUGACGGUACCCGCACAAGAAGCACCGGCUAACUCCGUG
rnacentral:rRNA from 1 species